AUUGAACGCUGGCGGCAUGCCUUACACAUGCAAGUCGAACGGCAGCACGGAGCUUGCUCUGGUGGCGAGUGGCGAACGGGUGAGUAAUAUAUCGGAACGUACCCAAGAGUGGGGGAUAACGUAGCGAAAGUUACGCUAAUACCGCAUACGAUCUAAGGAUGAAAGCAGGGGAUCGCAAGACCUUGUGCUCCUGGAGCGGCCGAUAUCUGAUUAGCUAGUUGGUGAGGUAAAGGCUCACCAAGGCAUCGAUCAGUAGCUGGUCUGAGAGGACGACCAGCCACACUGGAACUGAGGCACGGUCCAGACUCCUACGGGAGGCAGCAGUGGGGAAUUUUGGACAAUGGGGGCAACCCUGAUCCAGCAAUGCCGCGUGAGUGAAGAAGGCCUUCGGGUCGUAAAGCUCUUUUGUCAGGGAAGAAACGGUGAAGGCUAAUAUCCUUUGCUAAUGACGGUACCUGAAGAAUAAGCACCGGCUAACUACGUGCCAGCAGCCGCCGCAGUAA
rnacentral:rRNA from 1 species